rnacentral:tRNA from 1 species
CGCGGAGUAGAGCAGUCUGGUAGCUCGUCAGUCUCAUAAUCUGAAGGACGUUGGUUCAAAUCCAACCUCCGCAA